rnacentral:rRNA from 1 species
GGGCGCAAGCCUGACGGAGCAAGACCGCGUGGGGGAGGAAAGCCUUUGGGUUGUAAACCCCUUUUCUCAGGGAAGAAGAAAGUGACGGUACCUGAGGAAUCAGCCUCGGCUAACUCCGUGCCAGCAGCCGCGGUAAUACGGAGGAGGCAAGCGUUAUCCGGAAUGAUUGGGCGUAAAGCGUUCGUAGGUGGCAAUUCAAGUCUGCUGUCAAAGACAGUAGCUCAACUACUGCAAGGCAGUGGAAACUGAAUAGCUAGAGUGCGGUAGGGGCAGAGGGAAUUCCCGGUGUAGCGGUGAAAUGCGUAGAGAUCGGGAAGAACACCGGUGGCGAAAGCGCUCUGCUGGGCCGCAACUGACACUGAGGGACGAAAGCUAGGGGAGCGAAUGGGAUUAGAUACCCCAGUAGUC